GAUGAACGCUAGCUACAGGCUUAACACAUGCAAGUCGAGGGACCGGCGCACGGGUGAGUAACACGUAUCCAACCUGCCCUUUACUCGGGGAUAGCCUUUCGAAAGAAAGAUUAAUACCCGAUAUAAAGGAUGGGGAUGCGUUCCAUUAGGUUGUUGGUGAGGUAACGGCCCACCAAGGCAACGAUCAGUAGGGGUUCUGAGAGGAAGGUCCCCCACAUUGGAUCUGAGACACGGUCCAAACUCGUACGGGAGGCAGCAGUGAGUAAUAUUGGUCAAUGGACGCAAGUCUGCACCAGCCAAGUAGCGUGCAGGAUGACGGCCUAUGGGUUGUAAACUGCUUUUAUAUGGGGAUAGUUACCAUAUGAAUAAGGACCGGCUAAUUCCGUGCCAGCAGCCGCGGUAAUAC
rnacentral:rRNA from 1 species